CUGCAGCCCGAGUGGUGAUCGAUUUUAUUGAGCCUAAAGCGUCCGUAGCCGGACUAGUAAACCCUUGGGUAAAUUGGGCAGCUUAACUGUCCAAAUUCCGAGGGGACUGCUAGUCUUGGGACCGGGAGAGGUCAGAGGUACUCCAGGGGUAGGGGCUAAAUCCUGUAAUCCUUGGGGGACCACCAGUGGCGAAGGCGUCUGACUAGAACGGAUCCGACGGUAAGGGACGAAAGCCAGGGGAGCAAACCGGAUUAGAUACCCGAGUAGUCC
rnacentral:rRNA from 1 species